rnacentral:rRNA from 1 species
AGCGAACGAGGGUGGGAGGAGGAACACAGGCAAGUCGAGCGGGCCUUUCGGGGUCAGCGGCGGACGGGUGAGUAACGCGUGGGAACGUGCCCUCUGGUUCGGAAUAACUCAGGGAAACUUGAGCUAAUACCGGAUACGCCCUUUGGGGGAAAGGCUUGCUGCCGGAGGAUCGGCCCGCGUCUGAUUAGCUAGUUGGUGAGGUAACGGCUCACCAAGGCGACGAUCAGUAGCUGGUCUGAGAGGAUGAUCAGCCACACUGGGACUGAGACACGGCCCAGACUCCUACGGGAGGCAGCAGUGGGGAAUAUUGGACAAUGGGCGCAAGCCUGAUCCAGCCAUGCCGCGUGAGUGAUGAAGGCCUUAGGGUUGUAAAGCUCUUUUAUCCGGGACGAUAAUGACGGUACCGGAGGAAUAAGCCCCGGCUAACUUCGUG